rnacentral:pre_miRNA from 1 species
GCUCUGCUCCUCCUCUCUAAUCCUUUGUUCCUGGGUGAGAGUGCUUUCUGAAUGCAAUGCACCCAGGCAAGAAUUCUGAAAGGGCGAGCC